rfam:Hafnia alvei FB1, complete genome.
CACAUAUUCCCCCGGGGAAGGUCGAGAACCUUCGAUUAAGGUUCGAGUUGAGCGUAGCGAAACAACGUCGCUUGCGACGGCCCGCAGGGCGAAGAGCGCAGCGAUGAGUCAUCCUUCCCCCACCACCA